UUGCCUCUCUCAUUCCUCACCACACCCUCUGCACUCAGCCACCUGCAAAACGAACCCUGCUGGAAAUUUCACUACAAAUUACCCUGUGUCUGCUCAAUCCCCCUGGGAGAAGAAAAACCCCUGUUCUCUCCAGAGCCCACAGUAACCGAUAAGACUGCCCUCUGGUGGAUUUCGCUCACAAAACCAUCAGACUGUACAUAUAGGGUGAUCUAUACAUGCAGACAAAUGAGUUUGAGGCAGAACUGCCAGGAAGAUGAGUGUUGAAAGCUCCUUGGAAAAAGGAUUAGGGCUGUUUUAUGGUCACAUGGCAUUUUGUCAACUGCAGAAGUGAGGAAAGUAUUUAAAGCCACAGUGCCCGAAUCUCCUGUUUAUUUAUUUAUUUAUUUAUUUAUUUAUUUAUUUAUUUAUUUAUUUAUUUAUUUUUAUGCUUCAGAUUGACUGAUUUGUCCCACAAGUACAUAACAUUGAGCUUUAGAAAACAAUGCACUUUUCUACAAACACACAACACACACAAAUGGCUGCUUGUUCCAGGGUUGCCAGGUUUUCAGAACAAAGCCCGUCAAUUUGCCACUCAAAACUAGCCCAAUGUUUUUCGAAGGGGUCCCCGGUAAAAAUUGCAUUCAGGGGGGUAAAAUACACAUUUUUUUGGUGGGUUUCAUUGUUGGGGUCACUUUAACCUGCGGCAACAGUGUUAAAGUAGCCCAAUUCCGUGGGAAAACAGCAGACUUGGCAACACUGAUUGUUCCAAUUUCGGACCCUUCAAAACAAGAUUCCUCUCAUACUGAUGUGUAUUUAUCAAUGGCAAUCAAAUAUUUUAGACUUUUAAAAAUGGUUUCAGAAGGUGUUUUCACAGCGAUGCCAUAGAUAGAAGAACCAUUCUGCAAACAGUUCUGAACAUUAUAAUAAUCUGAAGAAUAUUUUUCCACUAUAAAGAACCUUUUGUGCAAUGGAAAGUUCCAUGGAUGAUAAAGGUUCUUCAGGGAGCCAUCAAUGCCAA
ensembl:lncRNA